ACCCUUUCCAAGGCCCCGCCCAGUGCCUAUAUUAAAGGGGUCGGGAAACCGGCUAUGGCGAUAAACGUCGUGUGGAAUAAGCGUAACGGACCCGGGGGCAGUACCCGGCGCCUCCACCAAUUCUCUCGGCACCGGGCGCCAUGCGGUGUUGGGGCUUUAAGGGGGCGAAACAGGAUCGACGUGCGUGGUAAAGGCGCGAUUUUCGCCCGGCAUGGUACCGCCGUUAUCGGGCCAACAUUACAAAUGCCAAUGACAACGAGGCAUUUGCCCAGGCCGCUUAAGGUCUGAGCGGGGUUCGGGGGGCACCUGGCAACAGAAGCCCCCCACU
rnacentral:tmRNA from 1 species